GUUGUAUUCAAUAUUGUUUAAGGGAGUGUAUGACAUCGGCGGCAUCGGACUGACCUGGGAUCUGGCAGUCCAGGGAGGGAGAGUCCCGCCUGUAGAUUUCAGUGCGGAUCCCCGUGUACGUCACUCGUUCUGGUCUCUCGUGGUGGGAGGCACCUUCAUGUUCAUGGCGUAUAUCUUCGACCAAUCAGCAAUACAGAGGAUGUGUGCGCUACCUAGCGUCAGACAGG